rnacentral:rRNA from 1 species
UUGAAAGGGAAACGAUUGAAGUCAGUCAUGCCGACGGGAAUCAACUUAGAGGAAACUCUGGGUGCACUUCUUCGUUUGGCAGGUUAGUGUCGAUUUUGGAUGUCAUAAAAUAAUUGGGGGAAGGUAGCUCUUUCGGGAGUGUUAUAGCCCUUGGUAGAUGUGAUGUCUGGGAUCGAGGAUUGCAACGGAUACCUUCGGGGCUAACCGCCUGAUCUCUAAUUGGUGUUGGGUUACGGACAGCAUGCUGUCCUUUUCUAAUUACUGGUAAAAGGUUAGAGCGUGUAUAACUUCGUUAAGGAUGUUGACGUA